rnacentral:lncRNA from 1 species
CCGUUGAAGAAAUCUUUGCUGCAUUUUUAUAGUUUUAUGGUAACUUGAAAUUAUUCUUGCCAUGAGAACUUAAUAGUGGGACUCAAUAAGAAAACAGUCUUAAGGUGCAGGGUAUUUAUACACAGUCAACUUUUAAAAUACUUCUGUAUUUGAAAAAUGUGUGUAAUUGAUAUAAAAGAUAACCUGAGAGUAACAGCAGCAUAGAAAUCCCAAGAGCAACUCAGGAAUAGAGAAAUGCUUGUAUUUAUUCAGUGUCUGGAGCUGCCAGGUAGUGUGCAAGGCCUUCCCAUCCACUGCCUCUGGUCUUUACAGCUGCCCGGGCCUCUCCUUUCUGUGCCUGGUGCACCGAAGUGUCACUGUUACUUCGCAUGGCUGAAGGCCCUAGACUUGAGGUCAAAGUCGGUACCCUGUUUAUGCCAUGUACAGAAUCACAAUACAGACUUUAUUUAAAGACUGAUGCUUGGCCUGUGUGAGCUUUGAUAAAAGGAAAUGAUAUAAAAACAAAUCCACCCACAAAGCGUCCAAUCAGCUUGCUGCUGUAUAAAAUGGGAUCUUUGCAGAGAGGUCAAAGCUGCUGACACUGACGCUGCCAUAGGUGUCAGAGUCCAUCUACAAGAAGGAGUGAGAUCAGUGAGAGAUGACUUGGGGAGAAAGGAGCAGAGACCUGGAGCCUGGAGAAGGCCCACCGGGGAGUGAGCAAGGUGAAGACACCAGCCUCUGACCCCUAACUCGGCCUAGAGGCUGGAAGUCACUUACAGAGAGGCAAGGUCACCAACAGGAGAUAGCCCUUGGCCAUAUCCAUACCCCUCUUGGAGAGACGCUGAAGCAUCAUGCAACCCUGUGGAGUAGUCUUACUCUUAAUUGGGAAGCACAGCCAGGACUCACAGAGUCUGGAAGCCUGCCUAACCACUGCACGUCAUGGAGAUUUCUCAAUCAGGCAUGAUCGAUCCUGUGACAGACACCAUGAGUCGGUUGGGGGACCCAAGCUCCCCUUCUUCAGCUUCCUAGAACCCAAGAGAGACUCUUCGGAGCGGAAUGCCUGGCUUAAGAGAAGCAGGACUUCAUUAAAGGCUUGAUUUAUCCCCAAAUGAUCUAUUGUUAUGCAUCAAACAUGUUUUCCCUACAAACCAGUUGGCAGAGAGCAUGCAGAUAAAUUACUACAAGAUGUAACCAGGCAAGCUGUUCAAAAGGAGAAUGAUUCUCUGUGUGUGGAGCUCAGGAGAGCACAUCUAUAAACAUGUGUUGGGAAAUCCAUUUAUUAUAAGUUGGCUGAAAGAAACAAGCUGCUGCCCUCAACUACCAGCUUGCUGCGAUAUCUGAUAGUUCUUCUGAGGUCACUGUCCAUUUUCUCAUGGGGAGGAUGGAGCAAUCAGGGUGUAGCUACUCUGCAGUAUCUUCAGAGGGGAGGGAGUGCCAGCUUAUCUAUAGACAAUGGCGAAUUCUCCCUGGCAAAAGUGAUGUCAGCCAGACUUUGUUCCCUGGAGAGAUGGGAUAGAGCAAUUCUACCUGAGUAUAAAAAUAUUUAAUUGAUGUUAGGAUCAAUUUCAAAAGAAUAAUGUAGUAUUAUAACACUACAGCACAGUGCUACGA